rnacentral:lncRNA from 1 species
GGGGGUUGUGAGGGGGUUGUCAGGGUAGCUGUCAGGGAGGGGGUUCUCUAAUGGUUUGUGUUUACAUCCAAGGGGUACUGUAUUGUAAUCACCUCUGUUCAGGGCCCUCUAAGGCCUCUACAUUUGGGUUUGAUAGGCUGUCAAACUCUCCUGCCAUUGUUGGGCUGAAGGGCUUUGACACCUCUCACUUCACACCUCAGUGCUAAUUGAAGUCGCAGUCAGAUCUGUUCUGUCAUAGCAAGCUGGGUAGCCUGAACUUAGCAUUCAGUCCUUAUCAAGUGAAAUAUAUCAUAGUCAUGUAUUUUUCUUCUUGGCUUUAAAAGUAGCUUCAGACUGAACAUGACUCACUCAGUUCCAGGUUGGAUGGUGUUUUCAGGUUCCAGGUUGGAUGGUGUUUCCAGGUUCCAGGUUGGAUGGUGUUUCCAGGUUCCAGGUUGGAUGGUGUUUCCAGGUUCCAGGUUGGAUGGUGUUUCCAGGUUCCAGGUUGGGUGGUGUUUUCAGGUUCCAGGUUGGGUGGUGUUUCCAGGUUGGGUGGUGUUUCCAGGUUCCAGGUUGGGUAGUGGUUCCAGGUUGGAUGGUGUUUCCAGGUUGGGUGGUGUUUCCAGGUUCCAGGUUGGGUAGUGGUUCCAGGAUGGAUGGUGUUUCCAGGUUCCAGGUUGGAUGGUGUUUCCAGGUUCCAGGUUGGAUGGUGUUUCCAGGUUAGAUGGUGUUUCCAGGUUCCAGGUUGGGUAGUGUUUCCAGGUUGGAUGGUGUUUCCAGGUUCCAGGUUGGAUGGUGUUUCCAGGUUCCAGGUUGCAUGGUGUUUUCAGGUUCCAGGUUGGAUGGUGUUUUCAGGUUCCAGGUUGGAUGGUGUUUCCAGGUUCCAGGUUGGAUGGUGUUUCCAGGUUCCUGGUUGGAUGGUGUUUCCAGGUUCCAGGUUGGAUGGUGGUUCCAGGUUCCAGGUUGGGUGGUGGUUCCAGGUUCCAGGUUGGGUGGUGUUUCCAGGUUGGAUGGUGUUUCCAGGUUCCAGGUUGGAUGGUGUUUCCAGGUUCCAGGUUGGAUGGUGUUUCCAGGUUCCAGGUUGGAUGGUGGUUCCAGGUUCCAGGUUGGGUGGUGUUUCCAGGUUCCAGGUUGGGUGGUGGUUCCAGGUUGGAUGGUGUUUCCAGGUUGGAUGGUGUUUCCAGGUUCCAGGUUGGAUGGUGUUUCCAGGUUCCUGGUUGGAUGGUGUUUCCAGGUUCCAGGUUGGAUGGUGGUUCCAGGUUCCAGGUUGGAUGGUGUUUUCAGGUUCCAGGUUAGAUGGUGUUUCCAGGUUCCAGGUUGGGUGGUGUUUCCAGGUUCCAGGUUGGGUGGUGUUUUCAGGUUCCAGGUUGGGUGGUGUUUCCAGGUUCCAGGUUGGGUGGUGGUUCCAGGUUGGGUGGUGGUUCCAGGUUCCAGGUUGGAUGGUGUUUCCAGGUUCCAGGUUGGGUGGUGUUUCCAGGUUCCAGGUUGGGUGGUGUUUUCAGGUUCCAGGUUGGGUGGUGUUUUCAGGUUCCAGGUUGGGUGGUGUUUUCAGGUUCCAGUUUAGGUGGUGUUUUCACGUUCCAGGUUCGGGGGAUGUUUCCAGGUUCCAGGUUGGGUGGUGGUUCCAGGUUCCAGGUUGGAUGGUGUUUCCAGGUUGGAUGGUGUUUUCAGGUUCCAGGUUGGAUGGUGUUUCCAGGUUGGAUGGUGUUUCCAGGUUCCAGGUUGGAUGGUGUUUUCAGGUUCCAGGUUGGAUGGUGUUUCCAGGUUCCAGGUUGGAUGGUGUUUCCAGGUUCCAGGUUGGGUGGUGUUUCCAGGUUCCAGGUUGGGUGGUGGUUCCAGGUUGGAUGGUGGUUCCAGGUUGGAUGGUGGUUCCAGGUUCCAGGUUGGGUGGUGUUUCCAGGUUCCAGGUUGGAUGGUGUUUCCAGGUUGGGUGGUGUUUUCAGGUUCCAGGUUGGGUGGUGUUUCCAGGUUCCAGGUUGGAUGGUGUUUCCAGGUUGGGUGGUGUUUUCAGGUUCCAGGUUGGAUGGUGUUUCCAGGUUGGGUGGUGUUUUCAGGUUCCAGGUUGGAUGGUGUUUCCAGGUUCCAGGUUGGAUGGUGUUUCCAGGUUCCAGGUUGGAUGGUGUUUUCAGGUUCCAGGUUGGAUGGUGUUUCCAGGUUGGGUGGUGUUUUCAGGUUCCAGGUAGGAUGGUGUUUCCAGGUUCCAGGUUGGAUGGUGUUUCCAGGUUCCAGGUUGGGUGGUGUUUCCAGGUUCCUGGUUGGAUGGUGUUUCCAGGUUCCAGGUUGGAUGGUGUUUCCAGGUUCCAGGUUGGAUGGUGUUUCCAGGUUCCAGGUUGGAUGGUGUUUCCAGGUUCCAGGUUGGGUGGUGUUUCCAGGUUCCAGGUUGGAUGGUGUUUCCAGGUUGGGUGGUGGUUCCAGGUUCCAGGUUGGAUGGUGUUUCCAGGUUCCAGGUUGGGUGGUGUUUCCAGGUUGGAUGGUGUUUCCAGGUUCCUGGUUGGAUGGUGUUUCCAGGUUCCAGGUUGGAUGGUGUUUCCAGGUUCCAGGUUGGAUGGUGGUUCCAGGUUCCAGGUUGGAUGGUGUUUCCAGGUUCCAGGUUGGGUGGUGUUUUCAGGUUCCAGGUUGGGUGGUGUUUCCAGGUUCCAGGUUGGGUGGUGUUUCCAGGAUCCAGGUUGGAUGGUGUUUUCAGGUUCCAGGUUGGGUGGUGUUUCCAGGUUCCAGGUUGGGUGGUGUUUCCAGGUUCCAGGUAGGAUGGUGUUUCCAGGUUCCAGGUUGGAUGGUGUUUCCAGGUUGGGUGGUGUUUCCAGGUUCCAGGUAGGAUGGUGUUUUCAGGUUCCAGGUUGGAUGAUGUUUUCAGGUUCCAGGUUGGAUGGUGUUUCCAGGUUGGGUGGUGGUUCCAGGUUCCAGGUAGGAUGGUGUUUCCAGGUUCCAGGUUGGGUAGUGGUUCCAGGUUGGAUGGUGUUUCCAGGUUGGGUGGUGUUUCCAGGUUCCAGGUUGGGUGGUGUUUCCAGGUUCCAGGUUGGGUGGUGUUUCCAGGUUCCAGGUUGGGUGGUGGUUCCAGGUUGGGUGGUGUUUCCAGGUUCCAGGUUGGGUGGUGGUUCCAGGUUGGAUGGUGUUUCUAGGUUCCAGGUUGGGUGGUGGUUCCAGGUUCCAGGUUGGGUGGUGGUUCCAGGUUGGAUGGUGUUUCCAGGUUCCAGGUUGGGUGGUGUUUCCAGGUUCCAGGUUGGAUGGUGUUUUCAGGUUG